CUGAGUCACAGCGUAAAUAAAUGUGUUUGUGCAGCAAUUUAAACUCUGCAGCAUAAAUCCGACUUGUUGGAAUAUAAAUUCAGGAUAGGUGAGGUAAAUUAACCCUCUCACAUAGAAGAAUUUUAUAACAUACACCGACCACAGGAGGAUGAAGGUGCCGGAUAUGGUGAAGAGUAAAAUCAUAGACUUCCUCCUGCUCUCCAUCUCUGGGUCACUGCGAUUCUCUCCCUUACUCUGAGCCCUCAGUCCCUUCCGGACUCGACUGGUCACUAAAAUGUGUCUGACUGUCAGAGCGUUGAUCAGCAGAAUUAAUCCGAAUGGGAGCAAUGGGGUUAAAACUUUCUCAAACCAGAAAAAUCCAACCCAUCCGGGAUCAGUAAGAUAGCUUAGCUUUGUCUUACAGCCACACUGUACAUUGUCAAUUAUCACUUUAGGUUCCAUUGUAAAGUAUUGGGGGAUGUUUUUUAAACAGAGCAGGAUACCGGUUGUCGCUAGAACCACAGCCGCUGUUUUCCCGGUGCAAUAUUCUGUUUUCAGCUUCUGGCAACGAAUGGCCACAAAUCGAUCAAAGGAGAAAGUGACGGUGAAUCAGACAGAACAGUCCAUGGCGGCAGCCUGCAGGACACCGUGAACACGACACACAGGAGUGAGGGAGGACAGGAUUUCAGCACCAAAACAGAGUUUGGUCACAGGAGGACAGGCAGGCGACUGGCUGUGUCUGUGGAUGAAAACCUGAAGCUGCCCCAUUGGCUGUUGCGCCUGUCAGUUAUGGGGCUGUUUUCCCUGACUGGCACAAGCAGCUGUCAGUUAGCAGCAGAGGUACCUGAUAGGCUGAGGCGAAUGUCAGUCAGCAUGCGGAGUUCCCUCAUUGCAGGAAGUGCCUGACCGUCAGCGGAAGGAGCGCUUUGAUUGGCUGUGGCGGCUGUCAGUCACAUGUUUUUCUUCAUUAAUUGAACAACUGAUGUAACCGGAUAUUUCACCGCGUUCUUGAUCUGCUCUCGGAACUUGGACUGAGUCACCCCAUAAAUAAAUGUGUUUGUGCAGCAAUUUAAA